rnacentral:lncRNA from 1 species
GUAAGUGUCAGUGAGUGCCAGUGACCAUCAGUAUUAUUAUUGUCAUGUACUUUUAUAAAUUGACCUUCUAAUUGUCCGACUUGACCAAGGCUUUGCAAGUGACAAAUUGGAGAUCUGCUGGAAUUUUUAUUAUACUUUAGUUCUCUUUUAGGCUACUGGUGAAAUAGUGCAGUAGAGUCACAAUUCAUGGAAAAAAUGAUUAACUCAGCAAAAUGGAGAGGGAGCUCAGUGAACCUCAGUGGAACUUGGAGAGGUAGGUCUUGAACUGAGUGAGCUUGAGAUGGAAGAAUUUUGGCCUCAACAUAACCACACAUUGCUUUGCUGAACCCUUUUGGAAAGAGAAGAAGGACUGAGUAUUGUGUAGGGAUGUUGAAUCAGAAAAUGAGACUAAAAACAAGUUAAGACUGCAUUGUGAGGAGCUGCACAGGGCUGGGAAUGCCCUAGGACUGGCUGCAGGGAUUGAAAUGGGCCCUGAGGCCGGGGCCCGAGUUGCCGGAGUCCUUCUUCAUGAGUGGCAUGGCACCCUCUCCGUUGGUGUCUCAAACACUCAGUACUGAGUGGGGUGACUCUCAGAGCUGUCCCUGUAGCUUCAUAGGUACAGAAUGACUGGCUGGCCUUCAAAGAGAGGGAUACCCAGUAGCUCCAUUGAAAAGACAAGUUGUGCAGAGUGUGGAGUUUCAUUCUUAAGUUUGCUUCACCCAAGAGAACCAACCUGUCGGGGUUGGAAGCAAUUGUAAGUGGGGUCAGAAGAAAUGGAGUUAGGCACCCUGUUAAUGCAUAUUUCUGGAGAAUAUACCUACAGAUGACAUAUAAACUGCUUUUGAAUUUUUGGUUACAAUUUUUCAUUGGGGAGAAGAGACUUAGAAAAAAGCAGUAUAGGCUCAGGCUGGGUGUGGUGGUGCACACCUGUAAUCCCAGAGACUGAGUGAGGAGGCUGAGGCAGGAGGGCCACAAGUUUGAGGCCAGCCUCAGCAAUUUAGCAAGGCCCUAAGCAACUCAGUGAGACCCUGCCUCAAAAUGAAAAAUAACAAAGGUCUGAGAAUGUGGCUCAUCCCCAGUACCAAAAGAAAGGAAGGAAAAAAAGAAAAGAAAGAAUCAUGGCUGCCUACAGGAGACAGGCCCAGAAGGAAAAUAAGUGAUGACACCAGGUAGGUCCUGUGGAAAGCAUACACAAAUGACAAGAGGUAGCCCAGUUACCUCCUGCAAGAGAGCUGUCCCCUGGGGCCUGAUUUUUGACUUUCCAAGAGAGAUUAGAAAUUAGGAAUUUUAUGUGAAUCUUCCUGGGUUUUGAAAAUUAGAAACAAAUUCAUAUUUUCCCCCCAAGGUCACCAGGCAAAAUAGCCAGAAAAAAAUGGAUUAUUUUAAGCUUGUAGGUGGAAAGAAAACAUGUCACUUGGGCACUAAGUGGCUCAGCUACAUGACCCUGCUGGUCUUGGUGUCAGGCUCCAGACUUGGCA